rnacentral:rRNA from 1 species
CGGGACGGGUGAGUAAUGUCUGGGAAACGUGCCUGAUGGAGGGGGGUAACUACUGGAAACGGUAGCUAAUACCGCAUAACGUCGCAAGACCAAAGAGGGGGACCGUUCGGGCCUCUUGCCAUCGGAUGUGCCCAGAUGGGAUUAGCUAGUAGGUGGGGUAACGGCUCACCUAGGCGACGAUCCCUAGCUGGUCUGAGAGGAUGGCCAGCCACACUGGAACUGAGACACGGUCCAG